GCUCCCAGUCCCGGCUUCGGAGCUUCUCCUCCUGCAUCGGGGCCAAGACAUCCACAGCCCCUGCCUCGGAGAUCCAAUCUAGGGCAUCUCAGAAACAGGAGUAGGAGGACCGUUAGGAGGACCCGCAGGCCUGCCAGCACAAGGAGGACAAGGCAGAUACGUGUACGGCGAGACAGACUUGCUUCCAUUGCUCUCCGAUCAGUUUCGCUGAUCGCUGAAUUAGUUCAGCUCAUCUUAUAAUAAGUUUUUAUUUAAUUUAAUUGUUUUUAUUUUUAUUUUAUUUUAUUUUUUAAAAUAUAUUCUUUGUUAAACAAUAAAAUGGACAACCAGGAA